AUGGCUGCAGUGGACGAUAGUACUGUUUGCUCCUUAUCGCAUGUGCGACCAGCAAGGAUAGAACCAGCCAAGUGGAAGCCACCCCCAGAUCAUUGGACGAAACUGAACAUUGAUGGGUCAUUUUCUAGCGAGGAUGGCGGAGCAGGUUCAGGUAUGGUCCUUCGCAGGCAUGACGGCUCAAUCAUUAUCUCUGUCUGCAGAUCACUUUGGUCCUGCCCUGAUGCACGUCACGCAGAGCUGGCGGGCUGUAUGGAGGGCUUGGCUCUUGCACAUCAGUGGACUAAUCUACCAAUUAUUCUGGAGUGUGAUAGCAAGCAAGCAGUCGAGAUGAUUUGGUCACAGGACCAAGAUCGUUCGCAGUACUCGAUGGUGGUCACGGAGAUCAAGAGACUUCUGGGUGAAAGAGAGUGUAGUAUUACUCAUAUUAGUAGAGAGCAAAAUAAUGUUAGUCAUGUCUUAGCAAAAUUUGGUAGGACGGAGGACCGCACUGUGGUUUGGAUUGCCUCAGGUCCAUCUAAUAUCCUUAGACUGUGUAGGGAAGACUUUCUCGGCUCUUGA
rnacentral:rRNA from 1 species